AACGAACGCUGGCGGCGUGCCUCAUACAUGCAAGUGGAGCGACGAACCAGGGCCUUGCCCUGGGGCUAAGCCGCGAACGGGUGAGUAACACGUGGGUAACCUGCCCCCGAAGACCGGGACAACCCGAGGAAACUCGGGCUAAUACCGGAUGUGCUCGCCGCGCUCAAGCGCGGCGAGUAAAGGAAGCUUCGGCCUCCGCUUUGGGAGGGGCCCGCGGUCCAUUAGCUUGUUGGUGAGGUAACGGCUCACCAAGGCUGCGAUGGGUAGCUGGUCUAAGAGGACGGUCAGCCACACUGGGACUGAGACACGGCCCAGACUCCUACGGGAGGCAGCAGUAGGGAAUCUUGCGCAAUGCGCGAAAGCGUGACGCAGCAACGCCGCGUGGGGGAA
rnacentral:rRNA from 1 species